UUUCAUUGGAGUUGGUGGUCCUGAUUGGAGGCUUCCGCAGCACUCUCUCCAGAGCAUAUGCGAAGAAAAUGAAGACCCAAGGAACUCAUCAUUGUGUUAUUCCCCAGCACAAGCAGCAUCUGAAGAAUACAGAGAACUUCACUUAGAAGUCAGAUGGAACUCAGAAUGAAAGAUCUUGAAUCUGAAGUCUCCAACAGGAAAACUUCUUGAGAAGUCUUUCAUUAUAUUGAAUUGGGAAAAUACAAGCACCUCUAUCAAUUAGAAUUGGAAGCUAGAAAAUACUUGUCAAACAAAAUUAAAAAUCUACACAGAACUACUGAGAGACUAGCAGCAUUCAGUAGCAAUCUUUUUGUGGAGACAGGAGACCAGAACUUUCUUUACCACUCCUGGACAGUCCUAUAGUCACGUCCUGGUGGCAAUCUUAAUAAUGGUUUAGGUCUUCACAGAGAAUUUACUUCAAAAGAAUACUCAACGUUCUCUCUUUCCUGCCCAUGGACUUCACAUACCAGCAUGAAGAACAACUUGAGUGAGGUGCUGCUGGAUACUCUCCUGUGGAAGAGCUUCCUCUCUAGAUUCACUGAUGAGUCAAAUCUAAAUGAAGACAUUCUUU